CAUCACGCAUGCGCGAUAGUUCGUGAGCAGACGAACCACUGAAAGAGACUUGCGCAGUCUAGUUGCAUCCAGCCAAAUACUAGUAGAACCCGAAACAUUGUUUUGACAAGUUCUGUCAUGUUGGGUUUGCAGGUUUUCACAAAAGACCAAGGUGUUGCAGCUUUUAUUCCGUGUUUUUCUUGCUAUCAACAGUACAGGCUGACCAACGACAGUUUUAGCUACAAAUAUUUGACGCCUCGUCUUGCAACUAGCUGUUGAUAUUCUAGGUUUUUUAAAUUUAAAAUUGGAAUCAACUGUCUGAGAUGUCGUUACCCCUGGCAGACGGGAGGCGCUAACGUCUGCUAACGUCAAAAUUGUCUAUUUCCCCCCGUCAGCUAAGGAGUACAAAGUACCUAUAUUAUAGUCUUUCUUUUCCUCUUAGUGUCACCUUAGUUAGACUUGUAGUUACUUGUCUCAUCAUUCUGGAUUUACGCAACGACGACAUUUGGUGUUGCACGUUUCUUCGCUGUUUUAUUGUCCUUUGUAUAGAGCGUAAGUUCUUCUAAUAGACCAACAUAUCUGCGAGCAAGGAUCUGCUUAGGGACAGUGAGACAUCAGCGAAUACAACAACGGAACCAUAUCCAAAUUGUAGCACAAAACUUGUACAGCUGUGAUACCUCCCAAACACCUAUGCAGUUUUGAAUGCUUGUCAGGUGAAUGCAGAUUAAUGUAAAAGAUGUCAAAUGUUAGACAUGUGGAAAAGGCCUGAUAGGAUGUGUGGGCGCCUUUGGUAACAUAGAUUGGAACUUAUGAUUUUUCAUGUUGGCUACACCAAGGCAGUAAUAACUUUGCUGCAAACAAUCUGCAAAACAUGCUUGUCUGUCCAUCUCAGUGAUGAGAUGGCAAAUUUGUUGAGUAAAUCUGACUAAGGAAAAAUUGUUAGUUCCGCAGCUGGCAAGAAAUGAGAGGACGAUUGGUGAUGAGACAAUUUAUUCUAAUCGCUGUAACUCAUGGACACGUCGACAUUCGUGGUAAUCAAACUUAGAACGUCUGCAAUGCGAAAUUUUUCACCAAUAUAAAGGAAAGCUGCAAACAUAUUUUCAGCAUUUUUAAUAAAAAAAUAAGCGCGUUCAUUCCCUUCAACCAAUUGUCAACGCGAGGCCCCGUAGGAACCUUCCAUACGUCACUUUUAUUGUAGCUGACAGUGACUGUAAUUAUGGCUUACUUAGCCCAUGCUUAUCCAGAGCUGCCUUGUUGAUCCCCGCCCUAAAAACUAUCAUCUUCAAAAGCUUCCAGGUUUGUUGUGGUCGUAGAACAGCAGACGACGAAGUUCAAAGCGGCAUUGUACCAUCGGGCAGAAUCCAAACGGUUGAUGCAUUGAAAAUGUCGGAGCUCUGUUGAUGAAUUUUCACCAGCACUCUUCCACAAGACGCGCGCGAAGCAAACGAUAGCAAAGGAGAUAUGGACUUGAAUUGGUUGUUUACCACCCGUGGCUUUCCCGCAUCCCAGGAUUAGUCUUGUACACCUUUUGCACUUGUACAGAGCGUUCGGGAACGAAAUUAGUUGUGGAUGGGUUUGCUGUUGACAAGCAAGGGAAGGAUUUUUUUACCAAAGUAGACAGGAUAUUUAUUCUUAAUCCCACAAUGUCUUGACUACAAAUCAUGCUGAAUUAGAAUAGUAUGUUGAUCGAGGCUGGGUGCCAAAGCAAUGGAUGAUAAUUGUAAGCGCGAUUGGAAAUAUCCAUGAUUUAUUAACGUUC
rnacentral:lncRNA from 1 species